rnacentral:lncRNA from 1 species
GAACUUAAUGAAAACUGGCUGUGAAAGUUUGGGUACAAAACAUGUUUAAGUCACCUUUGAAAAGUUUCACCAAAAGCAAGCAUCUUCAAGCCCCUCUGUUUCUAUGAUACAAGCUUCAAAUGAAAAAACCUCCAACAUCAAAGUUGUAUGUAUUUUCAAGAUGAUCAAUUUAGACUCAAAUUUUGCAUCAUUUUGAUUUUUCAUGAGAAAGUUAUGGGCACUUGAAGUUGGACAUUUUUCAAAUUCAAUGUCUUAGGUCCAAAGUGACCUAUAAUGUUU